rnacentral:rRNA from 1 species
GACGAAGGGGGCAAGCGUUGUUCGGAAUUACUGGGCGUAAAGGGCGCGUAGGCGGUUCUUUAAGUCAGGCGUGAAGGCCCUGGGCUCAACCUGGGAGUGGCGCUUGAUACUGGGGGACUAGAGAGUGGGAGAGGUUGGUGGAAUUCCCAGUGUAGAGGUGAAAUUCGUAGAUAUUGGGAAGAACACCGGUGGCGAAGGCGGCCAACUGGACCAUUUCUGACGCUGAGGCGCGAAAGCGUGGGGAGCAAACAGG